CUAGCUGUAAACGAUGGAUACUAGGCGUUGAGAGUAUCGACCCUCUCAGUGUCGUAGCUAACGCGUUAAGUAUCCCGCCUGGGGAGUACGCGCGCAAGCGUGAAACUCAAAGGAAUUGACGGGGGCCCGCACAAGCGGUGGAGUAUGUGGUUUAAUUCGAUGCAACGCGAAGAACCUUACCAGGGCUUGACAUGUCCGGAACCCUGCCCAAAGGCGGGGGUGCCUACGGGAACCGGAACACUGGUGGUGC
rnacentral:rRNA from 1 species